UGCAGUCGAGGGAGAAGCAGUUGUUCCGUAAGGUUCGACUGUGGAAACCGGCGAACGGGUGCGUAACACGUGAGAAAUCUGCCCCCCAGACCGGGAUAGCCCAGGGAAACCUGGAUUAAUACCGGAUACUCUCUUUGGAUCGCAUGAUCCUUUGAGGAAAUGGUCCGCUGCUGGGGGAUGGUCUCGCGGCCUAUCAGGUAGUUGGUGAGGUAAUGGCUCACCAAGCCUAAGACGGGUAGCUGGUCUGAGAGGACGAUCAGCCACACUGGAACUGAGACACGGUCCAGACUCCUACGGGAGGCAGCAGCAGGGAAUAUUGCACAAUGGGCGAAAGCCUGAUGCAGCGACACCGCGUGCGGGAUGACGGCCUUAGGGUUGUAAACCGCUUUCGGGAGGGAAGAAAAUGACGGUACCUCCUAAAGAAGCUCCGGCCAACUACGUGCCAGCAGCCGCGGUAAUACGUAGGGAGCAAACGUUGUCCGGAUUUAUUGGGCGUAAAGGGCUCGUAGGCGGUUCAACAAGUCGGUCGUGAAAGCCCGGGGCUCAACCCCGGGAUGCCGGUCGAAACUGUUGUGACUAGAGUUCGGUAGAGGUGAGUGGAAUUCUCGGUGUAGCGGUGGAAUGCGCAGAUAUCGAGAGGAACACCAUUAGCGAAGGCGGCUCACUGGGCCGAUACUGACGCUGAGGAGCGAAAGCGUGGGGAGCAAACAGGAUUAGAUACCCUGGUAGUCCACGCCGUAAACGAUGAACACUAGGUGUAGCGGACUGAUUCACGUCUGCUGCGCCGUAGCUAAUGCAUUAAGUGUUCCGCCUGGGGAGUAC
rnacentral:rRNA from 1 species